GAUGAAGAACGUAGCGAAAUGCGAUAAGUAGUGUGAAUUGCAGAAUUCAGUGAAUCAUCGAAUCUUUGAACGCACAUUGCGCCCCUUGGUAUUCCAUGGGGCAUGCCUGUUCGAGCGUCAUUUGUACCUUCAAGCUUUGCUUGGUGUUGGGUGUUUGUCUCGCCUUUGCGUGUAGACUCGCCUUAAAAUAAUUGGCAGCCGGCGUAUUGAUUUCGGAGCGCAGUACAUCUCGCGCUUUGCACUCAUAACGACAGCGUCCAAAAGUACAUUUUACACUCUUGACCUCGGAUCAGGUAGGGAUACCCGCUGACUUAAGCAUAUCAAUAAGCGGAGGA
rnacentral:misc_RNA from 1 species